GACGAACGCUGGCGGCGUGCUUAACACAUGCAAGUCGAACGGAAAGGCCCUGCUUUUGUGGGGUGCUCGAGUGGCGAACGGGUGAGUAACACGUGAGUAACCUGCCCUUGACUUUGGGAUAACUUCAGGAAACUGGGGCUAAUACCGGAUAGGAGCUCCUGCUGCAUGGUGGGGGUUGGAAAGUUUCGGCGGUUGGGGAUGGACUCGCGGCUUAUCAGCUUGUUGGUGGGGUAGUGGCUUACCAAGGCUUUGACGGGUAGCCGGCCUGAGAGGGUGACCGGCCACAUUGGUACUGAGAUACGGCCCAGACUCCUACGGGAGGCAGCAGUGGGGAAUAUUGCAGAAUGGGCGGAAGCCUGAUGCAGCAACGCCGGGUGCGGGAUGACGGCCUUCGGGUUGUAAACCGCUUUCGCCUGUGACGAAGCGUGAGUGACGGUAAUGGGUAAAGAAGCACCGGCUAACUACGUG
rnacentral:rRNA from 1 species